AAACCGCCUGCGGUUUACAGGGUCCAGUCACUUAACGCCCCGAAUUUUCGGGGUUUUUUGUUAUUUCACUACAGUAAUACUGGGCUAAUAAGCCCUUUUUUU
rfam:Sodalis praecaptivus strain HS1, complete genome.